rnacentral:rRNA from 1 species
GGUUAAGCGACUAAGCGUACACGGUGGAUGCCCUGGCAGUCAGAGGCGAUGAAGGGCGUGCUAAUCUGCGAUAAGCGCCGGUAAGGUGAUAUGAACCGUUAUAACCGGCGAUACCCGAAUGGGGAAACCCAGUGUGAUUCGUCACACUAUCAUUAACUGAAUCCAUAGGUUAAUGAGGCGAACCGGGGGAACUGAAACAUCUAAGUACCCCGAGGAAAAGAAAUCAACCGAGAUUCCCCCAGUAGCGGCGAGCGAACGGGGAGGAGCCCAGAGCCUGAAUCAGCAUGUGUGUUAGUGGAAGCGUCUGGAAAGGCGCGCGAUACAGGGUGACAGCCCCGUACACAAAAGCGCAUAUGCUGUGAGCUCGAUGAGUAGGGCGGGACACGUGGUAUCCUGUCUGAAUAUGGGGGGACCAUCCUCCAAGGCUAAAUACUCCUGACUGACCGAUAGUGAACCAGUACCGUGAGGGAAAGGCGAAAAGAACCC